rnacentral:lncRNA from 1 species
CCAACUCCAACCACCUCUUCCCUCGACGAUGGCCCAUAAUCCACCUCUAGCACCUAACCCCAAAUCACAUACCCAAUUCCAACCACCAUUGAAGCCAUACAAACCCUACCCACAGAUUCGCCCCUCCCAACCCACUCUCUCAUUCUCUCCUACUCCCCUCUCUCCCUAUCUUUUUUUUUAUAUAACCAAAAACAAUGAUCCAUAUGCAUCAAACCAAUGAAAACCUUUACAAAUGGAGUGCACUACGCAGACUAAAAGCCAUCCAAUCAGAUCCCAUAAGAACCUAUUGAGUUAUCAUCUAACCAUAACAUCUAACCCUCAUGUUUCAAACACCGCAAACGAGGCCUGAAACCCAUUUCUAUUUCCUCCUCCUCUCUCCCUCCUUUCAAACUCAUUUCCCACCGUUGAUUUCUUCGCAGUGCCCCAAUCAAAUAGGUGCUCUAGGAUGGGUAGGGGCUACUAGGUUUGGGGAGGUGCGCAGGUUGGGGAGAUCGAGGUGAGGCUAUGUGGGUGGGGAGGCGGCUGUGGGCUGGGUGGGUAGGGUUGAUACGCAGGGAGGGGAAGAAUGCUGAUGGGUUUGAAUUUUUUUUAAUUUAAUUUAUUUAAUUAAAGAAUUUUUUAUUUUAUUUUAUCCACAAGGAAUCCAUGUCAUUAAAAAAUUGUGCUCCACUUGC